GCCGGGAUAGCUCAGCUGGGAGAGCAACAGACUGAAGCCCCAAAAUAAAUGGUAUUCUGGAGGUCCCGUGUUCAAUCCACGGUCCUGGCA